rnacentral:rRNA from 1 species
AGGAGUUUGAUCCUGGCUCAGAAUCAACGCUGGCGGCGUGCCUAACACAUGCAAGUCGAACGAGAAAGUGGAGCAAUCCAUGAGUACAGUGGCGACCGGGUGAGUAACACGUGACUACCUACCCUUGAGUGGGGGAUAACCUCGGGAAACCGAGGCUAAUACCGCAUAAUAUCGAAAGAUCAAAGGAGUAAUCCGCUUUUGGAGGGGGUCGCGGCUGAUUAGCUAGUUGGUAAGGUAAUGGCUUACCAAGGCGAAGAUCGGUAUCCGGCCUGAGAGGGCGCACGGACACACUGGAACUGAAACACGGUCCAGACUCCUACGGGAGGCAGCAGUGGGGAAUUUUGCGCAAUGGGGGAAACCCUGACGCAGCAACGCCGCGUGGAGGAUGAAGCCCCUUGGGGUGUAAACUCCUUUCGACUGGGAAGAUUAUGACGGUACCAGUGGAAGAAGCACCGGCUAACUCUGUGCCAGCAGCCGCGGUAAUACAGAGGGUGCGAGCGUUGUUCGGAAUUAUUGGGCGUAAAGGGCGCGUAGGCGGUAUUGUAAGUCACCUGUGAAACCUCUAGGCUUAACCUAGAGCCUGCAGGCGAAACUGCAAUGCUGGAGGGUGGGAGAGGUGCGUGGAAUUCCCCGGGUAGCGGUGAAAUGCGUAGAUAUCGGGAGGAACACCUGUGGGCGAAAGCGGCCGCACUGGACCACUACUGACGCUGAGGCGCGAAAGCUAGGGGAGCAAACAGGAUUAGGAUACCCUGGUAGUCCUAGCCCUAACCGAUGAAUUUGCUUGGUGUGA